rnacentral:rRNA from 1 species
AAACACCCGUUCCCAUCCCGAACACGGAAGUUAAGCCCUCCAGCGCCGAUGGUACUACACUGGCGACGGUGUGGGAGAGUAGGACACUGCCGGGA